CGGGGUGGAGUAACGCGUGGGUAACCUGCCUUAUACAGGGGAGUAACAGUCAGAAAUGGCUGCUAAUACCGCAUAAGCGCACAGAGCUGCAUGGCUCAGUGUGAAAAACUCCGGUGGUAUAAGAUGGACCCGCGUUGGAUUAGCUUGUUGGCGGGGUAACGGCCCACCAAGGCGACGAUCCAUAGCCGGCCUGAGAGGGUGAACGGCCACAUUGGGACUGAGACACGGCCCAG
rnacentral:rRNA from 1 species